GCCUAGUUAGCUUGGUUGGUAGCGCGUCUGCCUUGUAAGCGCUAGGCCGCGGGUUUGAUUCCCGCCCGUGGCG
rnacentral:tRNA from 1 species